GAGUUUGAUCAUGGCUCAGAUUGAACGCUGGCGGCAUGCCUUACACAUGCAAGUCGAACGGCAGCAUGAUCUAGCUUGCUAGAUUGAUGGCGAGUGGCGAACGGGUGAGUAAUACAUCGGAACGUGCCCUGUAGUGGGGGAUAACUAGUCGAAAGAUUAGCUAAUACCGCAUACGACCUGAGGGUGAAAGUGGGGGACCGCAAGGCCUCAUGCUAUAGGAGCGGCCGAUGUCUGAUUAGCUAGUUGGCGGGGUAAAGGCCCACCAAGGCGACGAUCAGUAGCUGGUCUGAGAGGACGAUCAGCCACACUGGGACUGAGACACGGCCCAGACUCCUACGGGAGGCAGCAGUGGGGAAUUUUGGACAAUGGGCGAAAGCCUGAUCCAGCAAUGCCGCGUGUGUGAAGAAGGCCUCGGUUGUAAG
rnacentral:rRNA from 1 species